rnacentral:rRNA from 1 species
CGGCCACCGCUAUAGGAAUUCGAUUAAGACAUGCGAGUCGAGAGUCGUUAUGGACUCGGCGGACUGCUCAGUAACACGUGGAUAACGUGCCCUUAAGAGGAGGAUAAUCUCGGGAAAUUGAGGAUAAUACUCCAUAGAUCACGGGAUCUGGAAUGACCUGUGGUUCAAAGUUCCGGCGCUUAAGGAUCGGUCUGCGGCCUAUCAGGUAGUAGUGGGUUUAACAUACCUACUAGCCUACGACGGGUAUGGGCCUUGAGAGAGGGAGCCCAGAGUUGGAUUCUGAGACACGAAUCCAGGCCCUACGGGGCGCAGCAGUCGCGAAAACUUCACAAUGGGGGCAACCCCGAUGAGGGAAUUCCUAGUGCUAGCACAAUUGUGUUAGCUUUUCUUCAGCAUAGAACACUGAAGGAAUAAGGGCUGGGUAAGACGGGUGCCAGCCGCCGCGGUAAUACCCGCAGCCCAAGUGGUGUCGAUUUUAUUGAGUCUAAAACGUUCGUAGCCGGUUCGGUAAAUCUUUGGGUAAAUCGGGGGGCUUAACUUUCCGACUUCCGAGGAGACUGCCGAACUUGGGACCGGGAGAAGCAAGAAGUACUUCUGGGGUAGGGGUAAAAUCCUGUAAUCCUAGAAGGACCACCGGUGG